GAUGAACGCUGGCGGCGUGCCUAACACAUGCAAGUCGAACGUGAAGCCUACGCUGAUUACUUCGGUAUGAUUUGUGGGUGGAAAGUGGCGAACGGGUGAGUAACACGUGGGUGACCUGCCUCAAAGUGGGGGAUAACCAUUGGAAACGAUGGCUAAUACCGCAUGUAUCUGUUCGUGUGGGAACACGAAUGGGAAAAGCUCCGGCGCUUUGAGAGGGGCCCGCGGUCGAUUAGCUAGUUGGUAGGGUAAAAGCCUACCAAGGCAACGAUCGAUAGCUGGUCUGAGAGGACGAUCAGUCACACGGGAACUGAGACACGGUCCCGACUCCUACGGGGGGCAGCAGUGAGGAAUAUUGCACAAUGGGGGCAACCCUGAUGCAGCAACGCCGCGUGGGGGAUGAAGGCCCUUGGGUCGUAAACCCCUUUUCUGCGGGAAGAGAAAGGACGGUACCGCAGGAAUAAGUCACGGCUAACUACG
rnacentral:rRNA from 1 species